rnacentral:lncRNA from 1 species
AAAAAUACAGUCUAAAAAUUUCAUUUUAAGUCAUUAAUAAAACCAUAUCUAUCAUUCAACAUAUAGAAAUCAUGAAUCGUGUAUCCCAAGAAUAUCUUAAUGUCUAUCAAAUAUAUAUCAGAGUAUAAACAUCUCAGGCUGAAUAAAUGGUGUGUGCACUGCAAUCAUCCCGAGCUCCUCUUUUGAAAACCGAAGUACCUGAAACCAAAACUGAAAACCGUAAGCACGAAGCUUAGUGAGUCUCCCCAAACUACCACAUAUCAUACACAUAAUCAUACUACUGAGAGAUACGGGCCCCGCCCACACUCCGCUAACUAGGAGAUACGGGCCCCGCCCACACUCGGCUGCUUUGAGAUACGGGCCCCGCCCACACUCAGCUACUAUGAGAUACGGGCCCCGCCCACACUUAGCUAGUCAUAAAGAUACAUACAAGUACUCCACAAACAACAAGUAUCACUAAGCAUACACAUCUGUACCAUAUCAGUCAUCUAUGAGAUAUAGGCCCCACCCACACUCAGCUACUAUGAGAUACGAGCCCAGCCCACACUCAGCUACUAUGAAAUACGGGCCCCGCCCACACUCACAUUCCUAAAAACACAUACAUGUAUCAUACAGGCAACAAGUAUAACAAUCCAUUAAUCUGACUGCUAUCUAUACUCAGAUAAUAAUAAGAUACGGGCCUCGCCCACACUCAAUUACUAACGUAUCACAUAUACGGGUCGGCCUUGGUGCCUUAGACCCGUUCCUACUGGAAGAGGACUUACCUCACACUGCUAAAGUCCCGCUGACAAAAUCAUAACUGCUAAAUGAAAGAUUCAUGAUCUGUCAAAUAUCAAAAUAACACCCAAUUAAUAAUUGGGUUCCAACUCAUGUCCAUAAGUCCAUACUUGGGGUAAAAGACUACUUUACCCCUAUCUUAGCUUGAUUCAAGCCCAAGGCCCAAUCCAAAGGCCCAAUAGUCUGAUAAUCAACUAAAGCCCAACUAUGGCCCAAUUUUCUAAAUUGGGCCCAAAUCCUUCACACGGUCUUACUUUAAAGGCCCAACCAUUUAAUUGAUCCAAACACUUGGCAAUCCAAUAGUCCAAUACCUCAUAAUCUUCAAGGCCCAAAUAUGGCCCAUCUAUGGCCCGAUUUUCCCAAUUGGGCCCAAUCCUGCCCAAUGGGCCUUAUCUUAAAGCCCAGUCAAAUACUCUAGUCCUUAUACUUGUUCUUGGAUGGUCCAUCAAUAGCCUAAAACAUCUAGGCCCAACUCCAAACCCAACAAAUUAGGGUUUUCACAUGAAAUGAUAAGUUGGGUUAAUUAUAAACACUUAACUCAUUAAUGACUUAAUCCAUUAAGUUCAUCAGUUUACUAGGUCAUUCAUACAGUGUAAUUGGGCAUAAUUCAUAUUUCAAUUCCAAUGGUCCAUAACGCGGGUCCCGAUAGAUCCAAACCAACAAACCCAAAAUUAAGGUUUUCUAAACCCUAAUUAGGGUUUCUAACCCAAACAUGAGUCAACCAAGUCCAACAUUAAGUUGUUAGGUCCAUUAGGGUUCUACAAGGCCAGGCACCACCCACUGCCACCUCGGGCAGUGGUGGUCGACGACGGCUCACGGUGGCAGGCGGCGACNGGGCGCCAGCCACCAUUUUCAAUGGUGGUGGCUUAUAAUCUUGACUAAACUCCAUCAAAACAACCUGGAAAACAACAUACACCUUACUACACUCACACACACGCACACAGCCACCAUCAUAAGGUGGUUGGCGGUGGAAGAACGAUGGCAGCCACCACCUUAUGGUGGUGGCGGUGGAUUUACGGCCAAAUAAAACAUCCACACACACUAAUAGGCUUGUUACAGCAUCAUACAAACACUAGCACCAUCAAAAUCCAAGAAACAUACCAACAUGGCCACCCUUGAGGUGGCAGCGGCGGUCGGAGCUGCAACGACUCGCACCACAGUCGACGACAUGGCUGAAGGCGGAACAUAAGAAGAAGAAUAAGAGGGAGGAGCGUCUGAGUGCACCAUCAACACCGCCUGACGUCGCCUCCAGCAGCCUUGGCAUCGCUGAGAUUGGUCCUCUCGUCCGUGCAUGACAUCAUCGGCAUUAGGUGUCGCAGUAGCUGCUCGGUUGCUCCUGUCGCCACCAGCAGCGAGCUAUGGUGGUCGAUCUUUGCUAAGUGGCGGCUGGAGAUACUACCCAUGGUGGUGGCGGUUGGAGUAUAGCGAUUAGGGUUCGCUGAUUCAUUCCAAACGAGAGGGGAAAGAGAUAUGGG